rnacentral:rRNA from 1 species
UGCGUAGGCGGGUUUCUAAGUCAGAGGUGAAAGCCCGGAGCUCAACUCCAGAACUGCCUUUGAUACUGGAAGUCUUGAGUUCGGGAGAGGUGAGUGGAACUGCGAGUGUAGAGGUGAAAUUCGUAGAUAUUCGCAAGAACACCAGUGGCGAAGGCGGCUCACUGGCCCGAUACUGACGCUGAGGCACGAAAGCGUGGGAGCAAACA